GGCCUGAUGGUCUAGUAGUAUGAUUCCUUGUUAGGGUUUGUCCAAUAUCGAGGAGGUCCCGGGUUCAAUUCCCGGUUAGGCCC
rnacentral:tRNA from 1 species